CUUCUGUGCCGCAGUUAACGCAUUAAGUACCCCGCCUGGGGAGUACGGUCGCAAGGUUGAAACUCAAAGGAAUUGACGGGGGCCCGCACAAGCGGUGGAGCAUGUGGUUUAAUUCGACGCAACGCGAAGAACCUUACCAGGGCUUGACAUCUACCUGACGCUGGAUAGAGAUAUCCGGUUCUCUUCGGAGCGGGUGGACAGGUGGUGCAUGGUUGUCGUCAGCUCGUGUCGUGAGAUGUUGGGUUAAGUCCCGCAACGAGCGCAACCCUUAUUCUUAGUUGCCAGCAAGUGAAGUUGGGCACUCUAAGGAGACUGCCGGUGACAAACCGGAGGAAGGUGGGGACGACGUCAAAUCAUCAUGCCCUUUAUGUCCUGGGCUACACACGUGCUACAAUGGCCGGUACAACGGGUAGCGAGACUGUGAAGUUUAGCCAACCCCUUAAAGCCGGUCUCAGUUCGGAUUGCAGGCUGCAACUCGCCUGCAUGAAGUCGGAAUCGCUAGUAAUCGCGAAUCAGCACGUCGCGGUGAAUACGUUCCCGGGCCUUGUACACACCGCCCGUCACACCACGAAAGCCGGCAACACCCGAAGCCGGUGGGCCAACCGUAAGGAGGCAGCCGUCGAAGGUGGGGCUGGUGAUUGGGGUGAAGUCGUAACAAGGUAACCAAGGGCGAA
rnacentral:rRNA from 1 species